GUGCUUGCUUCGGCGGCACAUAUACUAAAAUUGGAACAAUACAGAGUUAGCAUGACCCCCACACAAGGAUGACACACAAAUUCCUGAAGUGUUCCAUAUUUUU
ensembl:snRNA U6 U6 spliceosomal RNA